UCUGUCCACAAAGGAAUGGCUAAAUUAUAGCCCAGCACAUCCCUCUGGCAGUGUAGCUGAGCUCAGGAAAGGUAUGUUCUGUGCAUUAGCAUCUGGGGGAGCAAGAGGGGUCAGGAGAAUAGGAAGGAAGAACCCUUCACCAAACCAGGUCACAAGGCCCAGCCUGGGCUGAUGUGUGUGUCACACUCUUGGAAAGGUCACCUCCUCACCACCAUCCCAGUCUCCACCAGGAUUGUACAGCAGUGUCUAUUAAUGACAGAACCAUUCUUCAAUGUCAUUUACCCAAAACAUAUCAUUUAGCAUUAAUCUAUUCAUAGAAUGUUUCUGAAAUAUUUUUAAGCUAGUUUUAGGGGCCGGGUGAGGUGACUCAUGCCUGUAAUCCUAGCACUUUGGGAGGCCAAGGAGGGUGGAUUGCCUGAGUUCAGGAGUUUGAGACCAGCCUGAGCAACACGGUGAAACCCCGUCUCUACUAAUAUACAAAAAAGAAAUUAGCUGGGUAUGGCGGCAUGUGCCUGUAGUCCCAGCUACUUGGGAGUCUGAGGCGGGAGAAUUGCUUGAACCCGGGAGAUGGAGGUUGCAAUGAGCCAAGAAUGCACCACUGCACUCCAGCCUGAGCAACAGAGCAAGACUCCAUCUCCAAAAAUAAAAAUAAAAAUAAACUGGUUUGGGGGCUGCAAAAUACUAUCUCAUAGUAGUUAAAGCAGCCACGUAAGACUCUGGGUCUUCGCCAGAGCCACAGGGACUCUGUGGAAAGGAAAGCCCCCUUUCCUUCCUUAGACCUUCCAUGCUUACCUCCACCUCCAUAUUUCUCCUCUUUCUCCAACAGGAACAAGCUCAGCUGGGAGUGAGCAAUGAAAGGCAGGUCCAGCCCUUUCACCAUGGCUGCAGUUGGAAGCAAACAAGUGAAUUUGACACAAGUUUAGCUCAGCUCAACAGACAUUCACUGGGCCUUGUGCAAACCACUGAGCUUUAAUAGAUGAAUGAGACAUUGCUCCUGGCCUCAGAUGAACACAAAUAAUUUCUCUUUAAUGUGGAAACUGCUAUGGUACACAAGCAGGCACAGGCUGCUACAGGAGGACAAAAGAAGAGUGCUGAGCCCUGCCUCAUUAGAGAAAAUGAGCUAAGUCAUGAAGACCAGUAAAAGCUGAACAGAAAAAGAAGGGCAGGAGCAGCAGAAGCAAAGGUCGUGAAAUUUCAUGAACACGCAAAGGUAACUACUAUAGGUGGGAAAGUAACAAACCAUUUGAGCAUCAUUAGAGUCCACAGCAGGAGACAUGACUGCAAAAGGGAGAGCCUUGUAUGGCCUGCCAGGGAGCUUGGACUUGAAUCUAAGCAGUGGUUAAAAAAAGGACCUUGGUCAGGUUUCCUUUCAGAAGGCUCAUCUUGGCUUUGAUAUGGAGGAUGAAUGUGGGAAGGGAUAAAUCUAUAGGCAGAGAGACAUAGAGGCCAAAAGGAGGAAGCGUAUUUGAGAAAGGUUUGGGCAGCAGACACUGCAGGGCUUGAUGAUUGCUGGUCUGUGUGUGGGAGGAGUCCAGGAGGAUCGUUGGUCCUGACUCAUGUGACUCAGAGAAUGAUGGGGCCAUU
rnacentral:lncRNA from 1 species